GUGAAAUAAAGAUUGAACAUGCAUUGCAAUACACCUGGAGACAAAGUGGCUGCUGACAGGUUAUGGGAAUCACACAUGAUGACACUGUUCCUAAGUGCUUCUUCAAAAACAGACUUAUUGAAGAAUUUAUGUGCAAGGGUACACUUCAGUCCUCGACACAUCAGAUCUGGUGGUAGC